rnacentral:rRNA from 1 species
AUUGAACGCUAGCGGGAUGCUUUACACAUGCAAGUCGAACGGCAGCGCGGACUUCGGUCUGGCGGCGAGUGGCGAACGGGUGAGUAAUGUAUCGGAACGUGCCCAGUAGCGGGGGAUAACUACGCGAAAGCGUAGCUAAUACCGCAUACGCCCUACGGGGGAAAGCAGGGGAUCGUAAGACCUUGCACUAUUGGAGCGGCCGAUAUCGGAUUAGCUAGUUGGUGAGGUAACGGCUCACCAAGGCGACGAUCCGUAGCUGGUUUGAGAGGACGACCAGCCACACUGGGACUGAGACACGGCCCAGACUCCUAAGGGAGGCAGCAGUGGGGAAUUUUGGACAAUGGGGGCAACCCUGAUCCAGCCAUCCCGCGUGUGGGAUGAAGGCCUUCGGGUUGUAAAGGACUUUUGGCAGGGAAGAAAAGGCGGGGGCUAAUACCCCGUGGAACUGACGGUACCUGCAGAAUAAGCACCGGCUAACUACGUG